rnacentral:rRNA from 1 species
CCUACGGGCGGCAGCAGUGGGGAAUAUUGGGCAAUGGGCGCAAGCCUGACCCAGCAACGCCGCGUGAAGGAAGAAGGCUUUCGGGUUGUAAACUUCUGUUCUGAGGGACGAAGAAAGUGACGGUACCUCAGGAAUAAGCCACGGCUAACUACGUGCCAGCAGCCGCGGUAAUACGUAGGUGGCAAGUGUUAUCCGGAUUUAUUGGGUGUAAAGGGCGUGUAGGCGGGACAGCAAGUCAGAUGUGAAAACUCAGGGCUCAACCCUGAGCCUGCAUUUGAAACUGGUUUUCUUGAGUGCUGGAGAGGCAAUCGGAAUUCCGUGUGUAGCGGUGAAAUGCGUAGAGAUACGGAGGAACACCAGUGGCGAAGGCGGAUUGCUGGACAGUAACUGACGCUGAGGCGCGAAAGCGUGGGGAGCAAACAGGAUUAGAUACCCUUGUAGUC